GCAAAACUGGGCAUGAGAGGAAGGUGAUCAUGAACAGUCAUCAUGGAUUCACAAAGGUCAAGUAAUGCCUGACCAACCUGAUUGCCUUCUAUGAUGAGAUAACUGGCCCUGUGGAUAUGGAGAAAAUGGUGGACGUGAUAUACCUUGACUUUAGCAAAGCUUUUGAUAUGGUGUCCCACGGUAUUCUUGACAGUAAGUUAAAGAAGUCUGGAUUGAAUGAAGGGGCUAUCAGGUGGAUAGAAAGCUGGCUAGAGUGUCGGGCUCAACAGGUAGUGACCA